UCAAUUUCGUGUGGCUAAACGCCACUCGUCCCUCUAAGAAGUCGCGCCGGCGCAUCGAAGAACCGGCGCUCUAUUUAAUAGGCUAGAGUCUCGUUCGUUAU
rnacentral:rRNA from 1 species